AUUAACUCAAUUAGGGGUUGAUCAUUCAUAACAAUAAAAACCGUACCAAUUACAGCCUGUACACAAUUAAUUUUACCUUUACUUUAGGGAUUUUGGCUGCAAGGUAAAAUAGCUAGCGUCUGUGUGUGCGCCCUAUUUUCUUUGCUUUUUCAAGCCGGUUUCUUCUGAAGGAAUUGGCAAUGGCGUUAAUGGAAGAAGAGCAAGGAAAUAUCAGAAGUGUGAAGACAAUUUCUUUUUUUAUGCUUUGUGAGCUAGUUUAAUUAAAACCCUUUAAUUGUUACUCAAUGGCUGGUGACUCUUAAUGGCUUUUACCAGUGGCAUUGUGUUAACUAAGAAGGGGCGAGCCUUCGAGCAAUUGGUACUACCAGUUUCAAGCUGUUACACCGUGCCCUACCUAUUGCAAUGCAAACCCUUUCAUUUCAAGGCAAUGGAUGUUAAACCACCAUUCCUUUUACCAUCGGUGUCGGGGAAAUUUUGCAGUAAAUGUCGCCUUCCAAGAACCCAUCAUAGAAAGAGUCACAAUUGUGACAUUUUUCGGUGUUGUUAACGCUAUGGUGUUACUGUAAAGAGCAGAACUGGUUCAGCGUACAUGAGUGACAGGUUACUUUACCUGUAAGGCAAAUUGGCCUAGGUACCUAACCAUUUGAGAAAAUUGGUCCAAUUUCUGUAUUGGAUUGCCCCCAUGGUGGAUUGAACCUUGCACUCUCAUAUUUUGGAGAUUCCUUCAACUUCUGAAGGAAAUUAUAACCCGGAACUUAUCUUUUGAAGAAAAUUGGACUAGCUAUUGCAUUGGAUUGCAUACAUCUUGGUUUCUUGGUUUAUUGUCAAAUUGUUGUUCUACCAUAGAAUAUGUAUGCUUGGGUAUGCUGAGCCAUUGGAGUGAAUGGCCCUGCUUUUGACGAUGCUUGCAGCUUUUUUUUACCUCCAUAGCUCCAGCAUUACUGUUACUAUAAUUAUGAAGUCAGCUUUAACACAUGUGAAGGAAAAUGCAAGGGUUGUUCUAAGUUUAAGUUCUCUAUGACCAGUUUUGGGUAUGUCUGCAGCCUCUUUUCCGAAGGAGAAGAUCAGUGAAUUGAUAUGCAAUCUGAGUUAGCGUGUUUUACAGUCUACUAAACUUGAUAAGCCCGCAGGUAAUUCUAAAGUAUGACCUUUACGAAUGGCUUGGAACAAAGCUCUAGAGGACACUCAAUGAUGCGUAUUAGGGUAAUGAUGCAUUUUGGUUUUCCAGUAUAGUCUUUCGUUCUAGGAUAGUCUUUUAAUCUUUUGAAGUUCAAAGUGUGGUUUGUUUCUCCAUUCAAUUUUAUUAACCAUUCCGUCAUCUUAUGGGGAGUUUAGAGAAGAAAUCUGUUAACAAUGGUUUGUACAAAUUGUCUAGUUGUAGUUGAGGAUAUUAUCUUUUAGGAUAUGAACUUCGGCAUUAUUCAAACAUAUUUUCAUAUUUUUUCACCUGUUAAUAAUGCUACGUGGUUAGCAAAAUUCAAAGUUGGUUAAUGAAUUUAAAAGUAAUGAAAACAAAA